CUUCACCUCAAAGGUGGUCACUGGUCACACAGAACUGCACAGAGCAGGCUGGGGGAGGGGUGGGGAGAGACUAAAACCCUGAUAAACACCUGUCUUUCUUUCUGGCCAGACAGCCAGGGAGAGGGGCACCUGGGAACCACAGUGUGUGGGGUACAAACAUACAAAAGGAAAACAUGGAACUUUUCUUUUUUUUUUUUUUUUUUUUUUUUUUUUUGCUUUUUAGGGCCACGCCUGUGGCAUAUGGAAGGCUACAGGUCAAAUUGGACCUACAGCUGCCAGCCUACAUCACAGCCACAGCCACAGCAACACGGAAUCUGCACCAUGUCUGCGACCUACACCACAGCUCAUGGCAAUGCCGGAUCCUUACUGCACUGAGCGGGGCCAGGGAUCGAACCCACAUCCUUAUGGAUACUAGCUGGAUUCGUUUCCACUGUGCCACAAGAGGAACUGACAAAACACAGGAUUUCUUCAAGUUAAAUUUUGAGAUAAACAGUAUCUUUUUUUUUUUUUUUUUUUUGGCCACCCCACAGUAUAUGGAGUUUCUGGGCCAGGAAUCAGAUCUGAGCUGCAGGUGCAACCUAAGCUGUAGUUCUGGCAACAUCAGAUCCUUAAGCCACUGGGCUGGGAAUCGAACCUGUACCCAGAGUUCCCAAGAUGCCACCAGUCCUGGUGCACCACAGUGGGAACUCCCAAUAUGCCUUUGAUAUGUGUGUCCAUAUUCUAUACUAAAAAAUUAUUCAUUGUGUAUCUGAACCAGGCACCCUGUAUUUUAACUGAUGGUCCUGUGCGGAGCCAAUUCUAGAGAGGGAAGAGCUUGGAAAGGCACCCCCUGAUCUCUGUAGAAGCCAAGUGAAGCCUCAGUCUUGGUUUUAGUCAUAGACUAUGCAUACACGGAGCAGACCCAGCCAGCGCAAAGGCUCUGAGACCUUGCUGAUGGAAUAAACCCCUUCUGGAAUCACAGACUGAGCUCUAAGGGAUGCAUGUGUCAGGCAGACUCAAAGAGCCCAGCAAAGGCUUUGAAACUUGAUCUGAGCUGGGACUGCCACCCACAGAAAGUAAGAGACAGGGCAGGGUCUGAACUGAACCAGUUAUAUGCCUAUUACAAAAUAAAUUCCAAAGCUGGUGUUGAAACAACUGGAUAUCUACGUGGAAAACUAGUAAAUCUGAACGCAUCAGAGACCAAAGACCAAGACGUAAAACAUGACAUCAUAAAAAACUCCUGGAAUAAAACAAAAGUACCCUACUAGAUAGCCAAAGACUUCGGACAUGGCACUCAUUAAUCAUAAAGGAAAAGGUAAUAAAUUAGGCUUUUAGAAAUUGAAAAAAAAAAAACCCUUCUAUUUAUUAAGAGAUACCUCUAAGAAAAUGAACAAUGAAGACAACAAAUAGAAAAGCAUCACUAUACAUGUCUGGCCAUUCCAAGGCUUCCAAGACUUCAUAAAAAAUAGCCAUUUAUUGUAAGAAAAAGGAAAGGAAUGAAGGGCUUAUUCAGACGCUCCACAGAGAAAGAUACUGAUAAUCACCAAGAGAAAGUUCUUACUAACAUUACUCAUUAGAGAGGGGCAAGGUUAAAUCCCAAAGAGAGACCCCUCCACACUCCCCAGAAUGAAUGAAACACCCAAAUGUGGGUGAGACUGCGGGGCGGUCAGAACUCAUGCUGUUGAACGGGACCCAGGGGUGCACUCCACGGGAAAAUAUUUUGGCAGUUUCUCACAGCUACACAGACGCCUUGACCCAGCAAUUCUAUCCCUGGGUACCAUCCCGAGAGGAAAUAAAGGUGUAUGUCCACACAAGGACUCGUCCGUCCCAGCUUUCCUCAGAGCCCAGCACAGGAGACCAUGUAAAGGUCCAUCCAGAGGAGGAGGGACCAAUGAACAGUCUACCUGUGCAAGAAGUGCCCUCAGCAGGACCAGGGAUGAGCUCUUUAUCCACAGCGCACCUGGCUGCAUCUCAGGACACUGCUUGAGUGAAGGAAGCUGAACACGAGAGAACACAUUGUAACACAACAUUUAGAGGAUGUUCCUCAAGAGGCAGAGCUAAUCUGCAGGGAAGGAACUGAGAACAGCAGUGUCUGCGGGAGGACGGGGUGGGGUCAGCAGAGACCGGCUGGGCAGGUGCACCAACGAAUGUUCUGGGGCGAUGGGAUAUAUUCUGAGUUUUGGCAGCGGUGUGUUCUGCACAGGUGUGUGCAUUUACAGAUUUCCUCAAACCAGCACUAUGUGAAUCACCUAAAACCCAUAUAAAAACAGAAAAUCUGACAUAAUUUCCUUUUAUUUUGCACAGAGAAAGACACCAUGAGUGAAGUAAAAAUCACGACACGGAAGAGAAGACAGCUUAUGCAACAUCACCUUAUUGAGAUAGAUUGCUUCUGAGCCAUUUUUUUUUUUUUAAAGAAACCAACAAAUGAUGAAUUUUUAAAAACCCUCAACACAUUUAAAAACAGGCACAUGAAAAUGGAACACAAUGUACUGAAGAGCCACCCCAAAGAGACCAUUUGAGCUUGGACAGAAAAGAGCUUGACCUCACCAGGAGUCAAAAUCACAGAAUCUCAGGAAGGCAGACACGGCCAACCCAAAUGCAUGGAUUUACCACGUGUCGAUGGGAACGUACAGAGUUGACAGCAUCCCUUCAGUGGGCAGCUGGCAACGGUGUGCAACACGAAUGGUGCACUGGUUCCUACCCCCGGACACCCUGCAACUUCCACCUCCACCUGUCCCUUCUAGAAUGCAAGUUCCAAACCCUGCCUGAGGUCAGAUCACUGCUCUAAACACGGCCCCACAAACACUGCUGCAUUUCAUUCUUUGUGCACUGAAUGCAGGUAUUUCUGUAGAGCAGGGCUUUCUCUCAACCCCAGCUGCCCACCAACCCCUCCUAAAGAGUUCUUGGUCAUCUAUCCAUCACUGAAGCUCACUGAGUUGGUCUGGAGAGCUCUGACCUGUCCAUUACCCUCUCCUGGGAAAUGCCUGAAACUCCUGACCCCCAGGUUGCAAUUAAAAAACCUCUGGAUUUGGGCUCCAAGAACUGUAUGAACACAUCACAGCAUUGUGUGUAACAGGGACAAAGCCAGGAGCACCUCAGAAGUUCACUGAUACGUAUUUUGGAACAUACAUAAUGAGAUCUAUCCUGUACUUAAAAGGCAUGAACUAUACCCAUUGAACAGCAUGAUGGAAGCUCAAAGACACAAUUCUGUGUGAAAAAGGCACAAAAGAAUAUUGAUGCUGUGAUGGCAUUUUCAUAACUUCAGCACAUCAAACCUCACCAUGUAUUAUUUACAGAUGCAUAUGGACACUAAAAGGAUAAAAGCUCAUAAGAGGACAAUGCAAACCAGGUAAGGGUUACAAGUUAUGUGAGGAGGAAAGGCGAGAAAGGGGCCAGGGAGAAAUAAAUGGGAUGGGUGAUUCUGUGUGUGAUAUUUUUAUUUAUUUAUUUAUUUACUUACUUACUUAUUAAUUUUUGUCUUUUUAGGGCUGCACUCGUGGCAUGUGGAGGUUCCCAGGCUAAGGGUCCAAUCGGAGCUGCAGCUGCUGGCCUACACCACAGCAACACAGGAUCCGAGCCGUGUCUGCCACCUACACCACAGCUCACGGCAACAUCAGAUCCUUAACCCACUGAACGAGGCCAGGGACUGAACCCGCAUCCUCAUCGUUCCUAGUCAGGUUCGUUACCCACUGAGCCAUGACGAAAACUCCCCAUUAUAACGUUCUUUACACUUUUCUGUGUGCUACAAAGUAUUUUGUGAUUAGAAAGCAUCUAAAAUAAAAACUAAAAAAAGUUAACCAGCAACAAAGGGGUAGAAUUAAUACACCUGCCCAAGUCUAACACCAAAGCCAUUAUUAUUGUCAACAAUUUUCUUCUUUUUCCAAGCAUAACAUUAUAUACCGACAUUCAAAAAAAAAUUUUUUUUUUUUUUAGGGGCAAACCUAUGACAUACAGAAUUUCCUGGGCUAGGGGUGGCAUCAGAGCUGUAGCUGCCAGCCUACGCCACAGACACAGCAAUGUCAGAUCCAAGACACAUGUGACCUACACCACAGCUCACGGCAAUGCAGGAUUCUGAACCCACUGAGCAAGGCCAGGGAUGGAACCUGCAUCCUCAUGGAUACUGGUCGGGUUCUUAACCCACUAAGCCACAAUGGGAACUCCCUAUACUGACCAUUUUUUGACAUUUUCUAUUUUCCUUCCUACAAUUCCUUCCUUUGCCCAGUUUUGCUAUUUGUUAUUCAUACAAUAAGGCUAACAAACAAAGAUAAAAACACACACUUUUAAACGCUAUUGUGUUUUCAAUAUGGUUUCCUCAUCUUUAGAAAAAAACGCAUAUAAUAGGAUCUAAUUUCACUGCAAAACGGAACACUUCAAGCUCAGUGUCGGAGCUGGUUGACUGCCAUUGCUUCCAGAUCCUCACGCCAAGCAUGAUGAGGUGUGACACUAGGAUACUCUUUAGGAUAACAAGUGGGUAUUUCCAGUGACCCGUCCCCCCAAGCAGAUUCUCAGCUUACCAGUAGGUUUAGAGAGGAUCAGUCUUUGCCAUAAAAAUGCACCUUUUCUCUUGAACUCAACAUGCCCUUUAAACAAUUUCAAAAAAAAACCCUCUCCUUGCUUUUGUUUCCCUGUUGGAAAUGUCACUUUGUGGCAGUUGGACUCCUUUUUACCUCAGAAAUGAGAAGUCCAGGGAAGCAGAGAAUGAAGUCUGGCUCUGCAAAGGUGUUUCUGAACAGUUGCUACGUUUCAACAUGGAGAAGAGCAGUGACUUUAGGCUGGGACGUCAGGCGAGGUUUCCGGUAGACGCCACGCUCCAGGAGAGGAGGCUCUGCCUCAGCCACAUCUGUCUGGAGCGCGGGUCUGUCCGCAGCAACCACAGUGGGAUGACCACGUUGCAACGAACUGCCCAGGGCACGAGUGGCCAUCAGUUCCCCCUGCAGCGAUGGGGAACCAGCCUCCAGAGGCCCCCAUUCUUUCCCUGCACACUAGAGUUCCUACAGAAAGUGAUGCGGGAUGCAAACACUCCUGGGGCAGUGUGGCCUCUGCAGAGGGUACACUUAAAUGCAACCUACAUGCUGUGGGCACAGCAAGGAUGAUUUUACUCAAUUCCCAAAUGGGGCAAAAUGGGCCUUCUUACCGUCGUCCCCUUACCCGGGAGGAACAUGAGGUCAGAGAGGGACAUGUUCCAACCUUCGCACAGACUGUGGGUGGAACCCUUAUUCCCACAACCCGAGUCACCCCUGUCCGUGCUGCCUGUCCCUGGCGUUUGGGUCUCUACUGUCCCCAGCUACUCCGUGCACAUCACAAUCCACCCUUGUCCCCAGCCCCACUGCUACUUAGUGCCCCGCGUCCUGCCUGCCCACCCCCAACUUUUCCUCCCACUUUCCUGCUUACCUCGAACUUUCCUGCCCACUCUCCCCACUCACCUCUAAUUUUCCUGCCUGUCCACUUACCCCACCCCACUUUCCCAGCCCUCGUCUUAUGGGAAGGACCCUCCCAGAACAAAGGGAAGGCAACGUGGCAGAACCAGCAUCUGUGUGCUCAUGUGUAACUCUGCGGUGGCCAGACCUAAUCAGUACCCAUGUGCAACUUUGUAGCACAGAGCAUCCAACCAGAAUUUACAGAAGGUAUGUUAUCUUAUAAGGGGGACAAAGGGACCAAAAAGAAAAAAAUAAGAGAGAGUAUACAAGACAGCGCCCCCCACCCCUGUGUUCAGGGCUCAGCCUCUGGAUAUGAAUCCACUGAGCCAGUGCCGGCAGGAAUAAACACGGCUUCCUGGAAAUAAGUCUUGGUGUCCCGUCUCUCAGUAUGAGAAUCCUGCAACAUUCUAACUUUCCAGCCCACGUCCCCUGCUCACUUCUAACUUGGGAGCGAGCUGCAAGAUCUCGUGACCCUCCUUGAUUUCCUCUCCCACCUGCUAUGUUCUGCACCAGACCUGCAAUGGGGGGAGGAUGUCAUGACUGCAAACUACGAGCUUUUUAUGUGGAUGGAGGUGAAGUGAAUUCAGGUCCACGCCCUGCAGCUGUGUUGUACUGGACACGUGGCUCCACCACCGUGAGCUUAGGUUUCCUCUCCUCUAACAAUACAUCCUCGUAAUACUGCUGUGAGAACAGGGCAGCAUUACAUUCAUUUAACGGCUGGCUUCUGUUAUUGACCUGGUAAACAAUUGUUCUACCGCAUGUCUACCGGCUUCACGAGGUUUCCGACCAGGUGAACCUCUGGCCUGGUUCUUGGACUUGUUUUAAACUUGCAAAUGAGAUUCAGGACUGGAUACAGAACACCUGCCCAGUGAAUACUUUUUAAAUUAAAAAUCUAUACAUUGUAGUUCCCAUCAUGGCUCAGCCGUCAUGAACCUGAGGAGUAUCCAUGAGGAUGCCGGUUUGAUCCCUGGCCGUGCUCAGUGGGUUAAGGACCCUGUGCUGCCGUGAGCUAUGGUGUAGGUUGCAGAUGUGGCUCAGAUCUGGCAUUGCUGUGGCUGUGGUAUAGGCCAGCGGCUGUCGUAUAGGCUGGCAGCUGCAGCUCCAAUUCAACCCCUAGCCUGGGAAC
rnacentral:lncRNA from 1 species